rnacentral:rRNA from 1 species
CGUGGGUAACCUGCCCAAGAGAUCGGGAUAACACCUGGAAACAGAUGCUAAUACCGGAUAACAACAGAUGAUGCCUAUCAACUGUUUAAAAGAUGGUUCUGCUAUCACUCUUGGAUGGACCUGCGGUGCAUUAGCUAGUUGGUAGGGUAACGGCCUACCAAGGCGAUGAUACAUAGCCGAGUUGAGAGACUGAUCGGCCACAUUGGGACUGAGACACGGCCCAAACUCCUACGGGAGGCAGCAGGC